CGAAGCGAUACCGGUGCCAGACAAUACGUUGUAAACGUAAAAGCUGCUAUUGGUAAGUUUAUAACCUAAAAUUCAUAUUUGAUUCAAACCGACUACAGAAUGCACACAAAAAAACCUUUUUUAAAAUUCAUUAUGUUUUGAAAAAUCUAUUCUUAGGUAUACUGGAUGGUGGAAUUGGUGCAACUCACUUGAAUACCAUUCUUUCCGAAUUGAAUGUACCACCCAUUGAUGAUGGUACAAUCAAACGUCAUGAGCGAUACGUAGGGAAAGCGAUUGAGAAGACUGCAAAAGAAAGCUGCAGAAAUGCCUUACGACAGGAAAAAAAAUUAUCCCAAACAGAAUGAUUGCCGCUCUGCGACUUCUGGAUAGAUGAACGAUACAUCGAGAAACUACAAUUUCGACAAUGCGGAAGAGCAUAAUGAAAGGCAACAUGAUCUGAAAGAAGUUCCACGUUCUCCAACGAAGAUAAAAGUUUCGUUUGAUGUCGGUUGGCAAAAAAAAGGGUCCGGUCGCUCUUACAAUAGCUCCACAGGACACGGAAUUGCAAUUGGGUCUUUGAGCGGCAAGGUUGUGGGAUACGCUACACGAAAUAAACGCUGCGUUCUUUGUCAAAAAGGGCAUAAUCGGACUGAUCACGAUUGUAGAGU